UACGGAGGUUGCAAGCGUUGUUCGGAAUAACUGGGCGUAAAGGGAGCGCAGGCGGCUUGGUAAGUCUAAAGUGAAAUUCCAGGGCUCAACCCUGGACGUGCUUUGGAUACUGCCUGGCUUGAGUACGUGAGAGGAGAUUGGAAUUCCAGGUGUAGCGGUGAAAUGCGUAGAUAUCUGGAGGAACACCGGUGGCGAAAGCGGAUCUCUGGCACGUUACUGACGCUGAGGCUCGAAAGCGUGGGGAGCAAACGGG
rnacentral:rRNA from 1 species